CGGAGCCCCUCACGGCCCCGCUGGGCCAUCUUGCAUUUUCCUCCCCGGGCGGCUCCUCCGCGCCGAUCACCUGACGCCGAGCUGCCACCGCCGGGUCCACCUUACCGUAAAUACCCCAGCGCCAGCCCACCGCGCAGCGCCGGGCGCCGGCGGGGAGGGGCGGGGGCACCCCGCCCGCGCACACUCACGCCGACACGCUUACACACUCACGCUGGCACGCGCAGCGCGGGCUGGGAAACGCUUGCCCCCUGCGCAGGCGGGCAGGGAGGUAGGCAGGGAGUUCCACCUACGGAUUAAGCAAUUGGAGAUGACUGUCCAAUUGUAUGUAGCAAUGAGAUAUGCCCACCAGAUGGCUCUACCUAAGGAGUAAUACAAUUGUGGUCCGGUUAGUUGAAAAUGACAAAUAGAGCUCCGAACUGUACAGAAACAGAUUCUGCUUUCUGAAUGUUAGUUUCCCUCCAGUGGCUAUUAUGAGCAACUUCAGGUCCAAGUUGUGAUAUAUUUAAUACGGAAUGAAUUUGGUUGGGUCUGACAGGAAUACAUUGCAACAAAUUAUAUUGUUAUUCAUGCCUAAACAACUGUAAUAAAGAC